UUUUACAUAAAGGAUUCGAUUAGAUAACUGUCUUCUCUUCACCGAGUGGUGGAAGAACUUGGUGUUUUUAUAUCCUUCUUUCAACCAUUUGAUUCUAGAUUUCUACCUAUAGAAGGAUUCUUCUUGAUUUGUAAGAUCAACAAACAUACGGAGGUGUUGUCUUUCCAAAUCAGCAAGAGCAGAGUUUUCCGGAUCCGACUGAAGGUCUAAUUGGAUUCUGCCAAGGGCCUCUCUAGCCUCUGCUGCUUUAACCGAAAUAUCAGAGAAAGCAUCUUUGUUAAGAAGCUUCAAAUGAGCUUUCAACAUCUUCAACUUGGAAACAAGCUUGAACAUAGGAACACCCCUAACCGGACUGGCCCACACCUGUUGAACGAUCGACUUAAAAUUUGGAUGCUCGGCCCAGAACUUGAAAUACUUGAAUGGUUUUGUCCUGCGGAUCGGCUAAAGAACCCUAACAGUCAUCGGCGUAUGAUCAGAAAUGCCUGGAUUAAGAAACGCUGCCUCUGAAUAAGAAAACUCAAGAUUCCACUUGUUAUUAACUAAAACACGGUCUAUCUUUCUCAACUUCCUUGCAUUUCCAGCUGAGGUAGACCAAGUGUAGCGAAGACCGACAUAUUUGAGAUCCAUCAGCUCAGUUUGCGCCAAACAUUGAGCAAAUUCAUCAAAAUAAGGGAUCCAAUUGGUGGAGCUACCGACCCGGUCUGAGGGGUCCUUAAUUGCGUUAAAAUCACCAGCAACCAGCCAUGCAGAGUCUUGAAAAAGCUCGUUGUAAUGCUGGAGAUCUUGCCAAAGAGGUCUACGGCGAGAAAAGGAAUGCUCACCAUAGACAGCAGAGAUACAACAGUCCAUACCAGUCAGAUUAAAACUAAGGCUACCAUGCACAGCCUGGUCAUUAAUAGAUAUAGGCAAAAAAAGAAACCUGAUCCGGGUUCCACCCGACCCAAAUUCUACCACAAGGCGAGAAAUCGUAAUUAGCAAGCCACUUCCAAUCCUUAAUGAGGGUGGAUGAGACUGCUUCAAAAGACUCCUCAGGCACUUUAGUCUCAAACAGACCAAUAAAACAAAGCUUAUUUACAGCAACAAAGCGCCUGAUCUUAGCUCGCCUAAGAGGGUCACACAUGCCUUUAAUAUUCCAAAAGCCGAUAAUCAUCAAAAAACAAAAAGGAGGGACACGAAUUACCUCUUUCUAGUAGUCUUCUUGCCUGCACUAGGCCUUUUUGAAGCCACUGAAGGAGGGGGAUGAGAGCGGAGCCUUAGAAGCUGGUCUUGAAGAUUACCGACUCUCGCAGGGAGAGGGCCUUUUGGCAAUGGCCUUUGAACCGACUGAGUAUCAUCAUCACUCAAGAAGUCCUCAUGAACACUUGAAUUGCUAAUCUCAUCAGAGCUCUCAGACAAAGCCAACUGAACCGCAGUAGUAGGAGCGAUUGCCUUUGGUGGAUCCUUCUUCUCAAGAGUAGGCUUAGGGAUUUGAGGAGGUACCUCUGGUUCAUAAUCUUUAAACUUUAGAACUUGACCUUCAUUAGAAGGAGGGGAGAGUCCAAGUGAAGCAGCAGCAGCAGCAGCCGCCUCCCUCGCUGCGAUUUUCAUCUUCUUUUUCUUGUUCUUGCGCUUGACCUGUUUCCAUCUUGUAUCCGCUGAAGCAGAUUCAGAUUCAGCAAGGGUAUAACCAUUGGCAGGCUGUGAUGACGUUGGUUCCCCCGGUUCCUGUAAUGCCCCUUUCGGUGAACUCGAUUCACCAAUAUGAGUACAUCUAUUCUCUUCCAAACGAGGCGCAUGGUCCUCAUCAGCAACCAUAAAUUGACGCUUUAGGGGAGAAAGGUCAUCCCCAUCAGAUGAAGGCGAGAUAACCACUCCUUUACCUUUAGCCAAAACAGCAACAUCUUCAGAGUUCACCCCCUGAACGGGUUCUGCUUCCUUAGCACCAUCUACAAUUCGGUCAGGAGCAGAUGCAGGAGCAGAAGUCCUACAGUUGUGACCAAAUAUGUUGCAUUUCAAACAGGCCAAUGGCUUCCACUCAUAUUCACCUUCUACAACAACCGAAUUACCCAUGGUAAUCAAUUGAAUAGUUUCGCAGAUUGGCUGCUGAACCAUUAUUUCAACGCAUACUCGAGCAAAGGUUAGCAUCGACAUCUACUCUGUUCUUUGAUCCACAUAUAAUGGUUUUCCUAACACACUGGCCACCUUUCCAAUGGAAUGUGCAGACCAUAAGGAGAAAGGUAGGUUUCGCAGCCUGACCCAAACCGGAACAGACUGGUGAGAGUCUUUAUUCAGCUCAAUUCCUGGUUUCCAUUGUUGAAGAAUUAACAGAAUCCUCACAACUGUGACAGUGCCCCCUUCUAAGAUUUUCCGUUUGAAUUCUCCAUUAGUAAUACGCAGCAAAAAUAGUCCACGCCCAUUAGACAUUACUUCCAAAAGGCUCGGACCCCAAGCUUUCCUAAGGGCCUCCUCAACAACUUUAAACGGCAAUUUCUUCCCGAUAAAAUAACCCACAAGGCAAUCAAAUAGCUUAGGGUCAGUAGCUUCUAAAUUAGAUUCAUCCAUCUGUAUAACAUGCUUACUGCUCUGAACAUGUAGAGGAGUGAAAUCCAUAUCAUAACCCCUAUUCGCACCACUGGCAACAGCAGCUCAAGAGCGAGCUAUAGGUUUUUUGGAGACAUCUCUGGAUUGAGGCCGCUUCGUUCUGACCUACCUCGACUAUUAUAGCUGCCCCUCGUAGGCACAGAAGGAUGUCGAGGCUUAGCAGCUUCGCUCGAAGGAAUUGGGGGCUUGCGGUUUUAAACAUCCAACGAAGGAUCAUCCAAACAAAGUUCGUCCCAUACUAGGAGGUGAGGGAGUUCGCUUGCUCUGCCCUUCAUCAUUGGAACGGGCCAAAACCACUUCGUGAUCCAUAUCAACAAGAUGCGAGCAGCAGAGGGUCGAGAAACCCUAACCCAUCGCAACUCAGAAAGCCCAAAAGAAGAAGACGUACUAGGCUACACCUUAGAGGGUUUGAGGAGCAGUAGAAGGCGCCCCUUGCCACCGAGUUUCGGCCCCAAACAACAGUCAACACCCGCGGAAACAGCAACGCAAGAUUCGCAGGAACAGUGCAGGAGUCGCUCGAGAAGAGAGCUAGAGCGAACCCACGCGCCACCGCUUAGCCUUGCCUCUGCGGUCGCCCGCAACCCAGUCCUCGAGCCGUCGACAAUGGUCUAGCCGCACGCGGACCCGGAUGCGGCUCCACCCUCUUCAAUCCCGCCGAAACAGGCACCGUCGUCAUCGGCUCCGAGAGAGAAGUUCCGCUCCUUGCCCUUCGAAGACUUUUUCCAAGAGGGAAUUUUGAUCGCCUUCGUUAUAAGGGCAUUAUACAUUAUUAUGUUUAGGUAUAUGAACACAAGAUUGGUCAAUGAAAUGGACCAUUGACAUGUGAUUUGAUAAAGAUUGAUCAAUGGACGUAAUAAUUGAUGAUUGAAUUGUAAUUGUAAAUUAAAUUGGUAUUUCUUAUUUGUAUAAUGCUUGGUCGAAAGGAUAAAACUGAUUUUUGAUCUCACUUAUAUACUAUAUUAUGAAUUUGGGUUAAACAAGUUGUAGUU
rnacentral:lncRNA from 1 species